UACGGAGGGGGCAAGCGUUGUUCGGAAUCAUUGGGCGUAAAGGGCGCGUAGGUGGCCCCUCAAGCGGGCGGUGAAAGUCGGGGGCUCAACCCCCGACCGGCCGUGCGAACUGGGGGGCUGGAGCACUGUAGAGGCAGGCGGAAUUCCGGGUGUAGCGGUGAAAUGCGUAGAUAUCGAGAGGAACACCUGCGGCGAAGGCGGGUUGCUGGGCUGAUACUGACGCUGAGGCGCGAAAGCCAGGGGAGCGAACGGG
rnacentral:rRNA from 1 species